UAGCUAGUUGGUGGGGUAAGGGCCUACCAAGGCGACGAUCGGUAGCUGGUCUGAGAGGAUGGCCAGCCACACUGGAACUGAGACACGGUCCAGACUCCUACGGGAGGCAGCAGUGGGGAAUAUUGGACAAUGGGGGCAACCCUGAUCCAGCAAUGCCGCGUGUGUGAAGAAGGCCUGAGGGUUGUAAAGCACUUUCAGUGGGGAGGAGGGUUGAUAGGUUAAGAGCUAAUUAACUGGACGUUACCCACAGAAGAAGCACCGGCUAACUCCGUGCCAGCAGCCGCGGUAAUACGGAGGGUGCGAGCGUUAAUCGGAAUUACUGGGCGUAAAGGGUGCGUAGGUGGUUGAUUAAGUUAUCUGUGAAAUUCCUGGGCUUAACCUGGGACGGUCAGAUAAUACUGGUUGACUCGAGUAUGGGAGAGGGUAGUGGAAUUUCCGGUGUAGCGGUGAAAUGCGUAGAGAUCGGAAGGAACACCAGUGGCGAAGGCGGCUACCUGGCCUAAUACUGACACUGAGGCACGAAAGCGUGGGGAGCAAACAGGAUUAGAUACCCUGGUAGUCCACGCUGUAAACGAUGUCAACUAGCUGUUGGUUAUAUGAAAAUAAUUAGUGGCGC
rnacentral:rRNA from 1 species